UACGUAGGAUCCAAGCGUUGUCCGGAUUUACUGGGCGUAAAGGGUGCGCAGGCGGACUGGUUAGUCUGGGGUGAAAUCUCAUCGCUUAACGGUGAAACUGCCUUAGAUACUGCCAGUCUUGAAUUAGGGAGAGGUUCGUGGAAUUCCGAGUGUAGCAGUGAAAUGUGUAGAUAUUCGGAAGAACACCAGUGGCGAAGGCAGCGAACUGGCCCUUAAUUGACGCUCAGGCACGAAAGCAUGGGGAUCAAACAGG
rnacentral:rRNA from 1 species